rnacentral:rRNA from 1 species
AUGAUCGCCCAAGAUCAAAAGAGCACCAACCAAAACAAUGGUGUCCGCUUUGAUGCAGCAACCAAGAGGGGAAAGGACACCUAUUAUGGUUACAUAGUGGACAUACGGGAACUUGACAAUGGACAUGGUUUUAAGGUCCCUUUGUUUCAGUGCAAAUGUGUCAAUCUGUCAGGAGGCAGGGUACAGGUAGACCCACAGUACGGAAUGAAAACAGUGGAUCUGAACAAUCUUGGGUACACAGACGAACUAUUCAUCCUAGCCAAUGAUGUGGCCCAGAUUUUCUAUGUGAAGGACAUGUCUACCAAACCGAGAAAAAGAAAAGAUAAGGAAGCGAAUACAUCAUACGAUGAGCCAAAGAGUCACAUAGUUCUUUCAAGAAAAAGAGACAUCAUGGGAUUGGUGGGCAAGACAUACAUGUCUGAAGAUUAUGAAAAGUUUCAUGAAAUUUCUCCCUUCAAAGUCAAGGCUGACCCAAGCACCCUGUUAAAUGAUGAAGAUUAUCCAUGGUUACAGCGCAAUAAGCAAAGGACACAAGCGAAGAAAAAGUGA